AAUGUACUCCCUCUGUCCGGAAAUACUUGUCAUCAUAAUGGAUAAAAGGGGAUGUAUCUAGAUGUAUUUUAGUUCUAGAUACAUAUCUUUUUAUCCAUUUUGAUGACAAGUAUUUUCGGACGGAGGGAGUAAGGU
rnacentral:pre_miRNA from 1 species